rnacentral:rRNA from 1 species
CCUACGGGAGGCAGCAGUGGGGAAUUUUGGACAAUGGGCGCAAGCCUGAUCCAGCAAUGCCGCGUGUGUGAAGAAGGCCUUCGGGUUGUAAAGCACUUUUGUCCGGAAAGAAAUCCUCUGGGAUAAUACCUCGGGGGGAUGACGGUACCGGAAGAAUAAGCACCGGCUAACUACGUGCCAGCAGCCGCGGUAAU